rnacentral:SRP_RNA from 1 species
CCGUACUAGACGGGGAGCCAGCGGUGCCCUAUAUCCGCAAUCCGCUAUAGCGGGGUUGAAUUCCUCCCCUCGGCGUGGUCAGAGAGCCCAUAUUAUGGUCGAUGAUACUGAUGACUGGGUCCCACGCGACGUAGACUUGCGAACCCCGCCAGAUCCGGAAGGAAGCAACGGUAAACAGGACCCUGCGGGUGCCGUGGGAGUGCCUGGUCUGAGUCAUCAUUCAUAAGAUGCCCGCUGGUCAAUGACAACGGGAGGUGUACGG